UACGGAGGGUGCCAGCGUUGUCCGGAUUCAUUGGGUUUAAAGGGUGCGCAGGCGGGCACUUAAGUCGGGGGUGAAAGACGGUUGCUCAACAAUCGCAGUGCCUUCGAUACUGGGUGCCUUUGGGGUGAAGUCGAGGCGGAUGGAAUGCAAGGUGUAGCGGUGAAAUGCAUAGAUACCUUGCAGAACUCCGAUUGCGAAGGCAGUCCGCUAGGCUUUAACCGACGCUCAGGCACA
rnacentral:rRNA from 1 species